rnacentral:lncRNA from 12 species
AAAAAAUAAAAAAUGUGUUUCAAACUUAAGGGUCAUAUAAAAUAACAAAACUCAGUUCAAAAAUUAAGUAUCUUUAUUUGACACUUUUUGAAAAUUUUUACAGUUUUAAACUAAAACAGACUAGAGGAAAUUCCAGUGUUUUUAAAAGCAAAACAGAAGGAAAAAACCAAACUACUGCAAUUGGACUAGCUAACCAGUCAUUUCAAGUUUGUUUUCUUUCACUGUAUCUAUAUAUGCCUGAAACAGACUUCAUUAUUCCACAGAAAAUUCACUCUGCAGAAACCCUUGGGACAUUUCUCAUCUCUUUGUCUUAAGAUUCUGCCAUCCCCAUUAAGUUUUUUCCAUGUUAUGUGGCAGAAGGAAAGCUAAUCUACAUCUGGUCACUGGAAAUCCUAUGUAUUACAAUGUAUUUACAUAUAUAAAAAUAUAUUAUGAUGCACUGUGCAAUUGGAUACCUGGCUGUAAUUGGGGGGCAGGUCCCGGUCCCGGGGCGGUGCCGGUACCGCCAUGGCCGCGGUGCCCGUGCGGGGCCGGCGCGGGGCGCUCGGGCCGGGGGGAGCCGGGGAACCGGAAUGUAAGCGAGUGUGCCAGCUGCUGGACACCCUUCCACGGGAGGCUGGUGCCCAGCUCAUGGAUUGUGCCAUGGAUCUGGAUUCCAGGCAGAAGUUCCUGCCUGACUCUGCUGCCUGGGCUGCAAAGGCAAAGCAGAAUUCCAUGA